rnacentral:rRNA from 1 species
CCUACGGGGGGCAACAGUGGGGAAUAUUGGACAAUGGGGGGAACCCUGAUCCAGCCAUGCCGCGUGUGUGAAGAAGGCCCUCGGGUUGUAAAGCACUUUCAGUGAGGAAGAACGCCUGGUGGUUAAUACCCAUCAGGAAAGACAUCACUCACAGAAGAAGCACCGGCUAACUCCGUGCCAGCAGCCGCGGUAAUACGGAGGGUGCGAGCGUUAAUCGGAAUUACUGGGCGUAAAGCGCGCGUAGGUGGCUUGAUAAGCCGGUUGUGAAAGCCCCGGGCUCAACCUGGGAACGGCAUCCGGAACUGUCAAGCUAGAGUGCAGGAGAGGAAGGUAGAAUUCCCGGUGUAGCGGUGAAAUGCGUAGAGAUCGGGAGGAAUACCAGUGGCGAAGGCGGCCUUCUGGACUGACACUGACACUGAGGUGCGAAAGCGUGGGUAGCAAACAGGAUUAGAUACCCCUGUAGUC